rnacentral:rRNA from 1 species
AUUGAACGCUGGCGGCAUGCCUUACACAUGCAAGUCGAACGGCAGCACGGACUUCGGUCUGGUGGCGAGUGGCGAACGGGUGAGUAAUGUAUCGGAACGUACCUUUCAGUGGGGGAUAACGUAGCGAAAGUUACGCUAAUACCGCAUAUUCUGUGAGCAGGAAAGCAGGGGAUCGCAAGACCUUGCGCUGAUUGAGCGGCCGAUAUCAGAUUAGCUAGUUGGUGGGGUAAAGGCCUACCAAGGCUACGAUCUGUAGCGGGUCUGAGAGGAUGAUCCGCCACACUGGAACUGAGACACGGUCCAGACUCCUACGGGAGGCAGCAGUGGGGAAUUUUGGACAAUGGGGGCAACCCUGAUCCAGCCAUGCCGCGUGAGUGAAGAAGGCCUCGGUUG